AGGAACAGGUGCUGUUGUGACAUUGAAGAGGUUUGUAGCUGCCAUCCUUUUCACACUGAGGAGGUGGUAUUGCCAAGGACAUGUCAUCCCUUGUCCCUUCCAUGCGGUCGUUGAAUUCUCGCAGGACCUUCGCGGCCCAUAAUCUCUAUUUCUACGCUUCUGAAAUGAAAGGCAUCUUACUAGUCUGUGGCUUGGUCGAAUUAGCCGAGGUCAUACAGCACACCGACUGUCCAGCUUCCGGUACAGCGGUGCAUUUAUAACCCAUUGGACAGGUAUCAUUUGCUGAGCAUGUCACCGCGUUACGUUCUUCAUCGAUUAAAGGAGUUCCAUAGACGCAGGGGCUCUUGUAAGUUUUCUUCGCUUUGCAUUCUGGCCUCGUUGGACAAAGAAAGUCUGGACAACCAUCUUCGCGAUUUAGUACACAUUCUUCUCCUACUGGACAAGGAAACCUGAGGAACGAUGACAUUCAGACUGGUGAAACGAUGUUACCGAACGCUUUACUCGAAUAAUUGACAGUUUCAAGUUUACCCUUCGCAAGGAUUAUCGCAUUCGCAAGUUGGACAGCCGGAAGCAUCGGUUUUAAAGCCGUACUGGCAAACUUGUGCGCACUGCUGGGAAACGCAGGAUGCCGGAAGGGACCUCCCCUUCGUUAUCGACUUGCAAUCGACUUUCUCCGCCGGUCCCAUGCUGCCGGUUAUCUUCCGACCGUUGUUAUCCACGCACCAACAAACCAGUCCGUUCCUCGAACAUUGUCUGGUCUCGUAACUUCCAUCUGAAAUAUUAAUUAGAACGUUAAUGAGGAUGAAGCUUAUUAUUAUUAUUAUUAUUAUUAUUAUUAUUAUUAUUAUUAUUAUACGGGCAUUUGCCCAUUCAUACACAUACGUAAUAUAUACAUAAAUAUAGUACUUGCACAAGUACAACAUUUGAUUAUGUUCCUGAUUAAGAAUUGGGCCUGACUGAUAGCCCCAACCCCGCAGAGUGCAUACGUGACGACAAUUACUCAGUAAUUACAUACCAAUGCUACAAUGAUACCCCGAAAUGUUCAAGGUUAAUGCUGAAAUAAUCUGCAGAUUUUAGUCUUAUUGUUAGUGCUGCUGGUAAAGUUGUUAAAGAUGUCGAUCAUCGCUUGAUAUAAAUGGACUGUUUUGCAUGAUCUACAUAUAGGAUCAGUAUGUCCAAACCUUAAGGAGUAUCGAGGUGGUAGGAAUAACUUAGAGGGCCUGACAGCAUGCUGAGGCAGGUGAAAGUUAAUCUGCUCGAGUAGGGUGCAGCAGUUGAUGAUACGCUGAAUGAAGAGUACCUCAGCUAUGCUUCUUCUAUUCUCAAGAGUCAGUAUAUUGAAACGAUUCAUGAUUUCUUCAUAAUUAUGGUCAACUCAUUAUACUCUACAGAUCAUUGGAUGAUCUGUCCUAGUGGAGAGGAACCACAAAGAUCUGUGUUGCACCCUUUCGAGAGUGCAAGCUAGGAGCCCAUAUGACAGAGGCAUAUUCAGAAUAAUUCAAUUCAGAAGCAUAUUCAAAAAUAACUAGAAGUGGAAAAGAAAUGGUCACCCAAUUACCGUCGCAAGAGUCAACUUAAAAAGGUACACUGCUCCCAACCAGAAUAUCCUUAUAGCCAUCAACCAAAGCAGUAACUUAGCCAAGAUUUAAAGGGAUCAGUAAUCCCUGAAUUUCUCUCACCUUCGGUACACUGUGGGACGUAUCCGCGACCCUGUCUCUCGGAUAUGCUGAGCAUCUCGGCCAGCACUCUGUCCCUAUGGCAGGCGCUAAGACCUUGAGGUAUAGAACAAACACCUCCGCCGCAUUUCUCGCUGGUACAGCAUUUCUGUGGAUCAGGACAUUCUAAAUCAUGCUGACACGAGUUGCCGCAUAUAGCCGGUUCCUCUAACGGGCAUGUUCCCGCUCGUUUCAGAUUGAUGCUCGAAGGGCAACAGACUCCGUACUCUUGUUUCGGCUCCACCAAGCAGCUGUACAUCGGCGGGCAGGUCGGUUUGCCGGGUGAGUCGCCGCAGAGAAAUGGCCUCGGUGAAUCUGUGAUUUGCAACGGUUCACCAGCCGGGCAUAUAGUCGACAGGGAUUUCGCUUUACGACAGCUGGGAAUUGGCGGACACGGUGGACGAGCGCACGUUACAUCAAUCAACUCGCACGUUUGACUGGUCCCUGGACAGAUGAUGCCGCGGCAAGGAUCCCGGCAUUCGCAUUUCGGGCAGCCAGUUUUAGCCUCAAUCUGUCGAUUCAAAUGAGAAAUCGCUCGAAUGUAGUGUCGUGUUAACAGACCGUUAACAAAAUUGGUAAAAUUUUUUUUUUUUUAUCAAAAAUGUGGUGAAAUUUUUAAGCGACCUAGUAUAAUUAAAUCUUUUAUGAAUUUUUCCCCGCUAGAGAGAGAAAAUCACCAUUCUUCGACGUCGCGUCGUUCGGUUAUUUCUGCAAACGGUAAAAGCAACGGUAACGAGAUUACAGAGUGGUCAUUUGCGACAUCAUUCACUGCCGCAAUACGUGGCCUCGGUUGACUAAUUGAUUGCCAGCAAAACUAUAGAGUAUAGCCUGUCGAUCAAUUAUCGCCUACACAAUUUUCUGACGUUACUUCAAUCAUGCAUUCGUUACCAUAAUGGAUGAGAAUUUAAUCGUCAUUUUAAUCGGAGAAUUACCUCGAAACCUAACGGACACAACAUUCGACAGCUAUGAGCUGGACAUUUUCUAGGAUUGUCGCAGUCGAUAACAUCUUUGCUGGACCCUCUGGUUCCAGGAACUUCAGCGCCGAUUUUGUCGACGCACCAGCACCUGUUCUCACGGGGAUGGCAUUGUAUCCUUUCGAAUUCGCCAGUUUCGUUGUUACACUUUGGUAUGAAUUGGGAUAGUCCACGAGGGCCCAGGGCACGGGAUCUUCUUAUGGCUGCUUGGGCCAAUUGCUCGCAUCCUGUCAGCUCGCCGAGGACACAUUUCUUACCGCAGGAUGUCUUACAGCAACGUUCACCCCCAGCUUGACAUUGGAAGUCAUUUUCGCAGGAUGGCGCUCGCGAUGGGCACACGUUCUGCUCCUCGAAGGAUGGGCAUCGACCUACCGUCUUCAACGGUGGUUCUGGAAAAUCAAACGGGAGGUCUUUAAGCGAGUUACCCAGCGUAACUGGUGGGAAUGAUAAUGCUGGUUAGAGUUACCGUUUUUCAUGGGAAAUAUGCCAUGCUGGAAAUAGCUAUUUCAAGGCUUUAAUUAUUCAGGAUAGAAAUUUGCAAAUUUUAUUAUUUGAAAAUUCAGCUACCCUUCAUUUCGAAAAGCGGAUACUAACUGGGAAUUCGAACUCGAUUCGAAUACUCGAAACUCUGAAUUAUCAAAUUAAAAAAUUCUUAUUUCUACUUCUGAAAUCCUGAAAUUCCCAUUUCUAAAUAAUUUUCACCUCGAAGCACUAAAUUUCUUAAUUUUUAAAAUUCACACCUUCACCAUUGACCAUCGUUAGAAACUUGAUUUCUUUUAAGAGAUACAGAAUUAAGUAUCCCUGGCGAAUGACGCAGCCAAGCAUGGCGCCACUCCGUUUAUUAAUUAAGGAACCUCCGAAAAAUAUUCGUCUGGCUCGCAAAGUGUCGGAACGGCUCGGUAAAAAGCGGCACACCUUGACACAAAUUUAUUCAAGAGCACAUUCGGCUGGUUUUGAAGAAGCGAGCCUGUGGUUUAUGGGUCUCGGUUACAAGGAAUACACCUUUAUUGGUCAAGCAUCAUCACGAUCCUCGUGUAUCCCAGCUUGCCUUUGUUCGAUGAAUCAAAGUGUAGCGCAACGACGACGGGAAAUAAUAAUAAAAAUAGCCGGGGAGUCGAGGUAACGGUUCUUCGCAUCCUACUGCCACACUUACUACGCUUACCUAACGUGAUACGAGCACAUUUCCAGAACAAACUCGGCUGAGUCAGACGUUGCGGACUGCCUGAUGGGUCGUAGCCAUAGGCGAGAAGGAAAUAAAGGAAUGCAACUGUGACGAUUGAUUCGAUUAACAGCAACUGCCUCUGGUCACGCGAAACUUUGACGAACGAGUUUCUUCUGGAUCCUCUUACUGAUCACCGCUGGCGUUAAAUAAUCCGGGUCGAUGAUUAUGUUUAGCGAGAACGGAAUAGAAGAGGCUCGGGUCAAGUGCACUCGGGUCUUAUGAACGUUCAGGGACGUUUAAUGGUAAGGCACACUUUUAUUAACACGUUCAGGGGUCAUUUGAAAUUUACCUUUGUCAACGCGACAUGCUUCCAAGGAUUCGUCCGGAGAGUCGGCGACGCAUGGUACUAUGUGUAUACACUACUUAAAUCACAUGUUGAAUAUACAUAUAGGAUAGAUAUAAAUCCAUGUGUCGCAUUUCAAUCGAAUUUUUACUUUGACUCUCUAUACCAGGCCCACUGUAUUCUCUCAUCGUUAAAGAUUUCAUAAAAGUCCAGUGAAACUUCCAGCACAUCCGAUUACCCGAAUUUCCGGUUCGUUGACCAUCGCCCUCUUUCUCUCCUGCCUUUCUACCUCUAUUAUAGCCGUUUCGUGUUAAUCCUCGUGCGAGUUUCCCUGUUACGACAUCCUUUAUCUUGCGAUGGAAUUAUAUUGCACCGUGCAAUAUGACUUUUUCUUCAAAUUAACACCGAACGUAGUUUCGUCAAAAUUUAAUUAGCAAAUUAUAUUGCUAUAAUAUAUUAAAUAAGUGUUAAAAAAUGAUUAGAGUGAUUAGGAUUAUAAUUAGAUUCACAGUCCUUUCCACUAUAUGCAUUUUACAUAGGUGCAACCAGGGCAUUGUAAAACUGUGAAACUUUAUACUUUCACAAUUUUCAUUGAUUGUUCGUGACAGAUAAAUCGAAACCUUCGAUUUUCUACUAUAUUCAAAUUUUAGCUCUCAAUUCUCUACACUAUCAGAAUCUAAGCAUUCAAUUUCCAACUAUAUCCAAAUGAAAUCAUUUAAUUUCCAACUGUCAUCACGGGUAGUCAACAUCUUAACGAAGAGCAAAGCAUCUGUGUAUCCUCUCGGUGUAGUACGAUAGUCAUGAACAAAAGCAUCCGUGGAAUGCGUGUAACGGCAACGGCACAGCGGUAGAUGGAUCAAAAAAGAGACGAGAGACGUAGGAAUGGUAAAAUGGCAAGAAUGUGAAAGAGCGAAGAGAAAACGUAAAGAGGAAAGAUGUACUCGCGGGUCGAGACGAAGGAAUGCGGAGGAAUGUACUUUAACGGUGCGAGAGAAAUUCAAUUUGUUAUUGCCUCUAGCAUGCAAAUCGUUCUGGCCCUGAUAUUUAUCGAGAACGCCGGGAUAUCCUGCUGUAACACAUUGCCAAUCGAUUGAACUUGAGCGUCGUUCGGUCCACACCAUCGGCGAUUUAACCUCGUAAUUAACGUAUCUCGUUAAGUGCGAUCGUUCAUCCGCCUGCAGGAUGUAGCCUGGUUCACCGCUGUAUAAUCCACGGCAAAUAAUUAACUCGUUGAUUAGGGAGACUCGUGGGUCUCCUGGGUAUAUCUACUCAUAUCAAUUGAUACAGGCAUACUUGGUACUUUGUAUUUAAUAUUUGCUAUAUUUUGUUUGGUACUUGACACUCGGCAAUUGGUAUUAGGAAAUUGGUACUUGAUAUUUGGUAUUUCGUACUCGAUGCUCGGUACUCUUCAUUCGGUACUCUUCCUUCGAUACUCGAUUCUAGGUACUUUUCAUUCCAUACUCGGUACUCGAUACCCGGCACUCUUCAUUUGAUACUUUGUACUCGAUAAUCUUCAUUCGAUACUUGGUACUCGGUACUCUGUAUUCGAUACUUUUCGUUCGAUACUCGAUUCUAGGUACUUUCCAUUCCAUACUCGGUACUCGACACUCUUCAUUCGAUACUUUGUACUCGGUAAUCUUCAUUCCAUAUUUGGUACUCGGUACUCUGUACUGUGCACUUUUCAUUCAAUUCUCAGUACUCGGUACUCUUCAUUCGAUACUCUGUACUCAGUCCUCUGUAUUCGAUACUCUUCGUUCGAUACUCGAUUCUAGGUACUUUUCAUUCCAUACUCGGUAUUCGAUAUUCAGUACUCGGUACUCUUCAUUCGAUAUUCGGUACUUGGUACUCGAUAGCGAUAAUACCAUUAAAGUUUAUCUACUCCGCUAUAACACUUACAUUCGAGUGAAAGAAAUUUCCUUUUACCACUUACAUAAUUACGUACUUAUUCUGUACUUGCAUAAUUAGGUAUUUACAUAAGUAAAUUCUAUUUCUCCACUGGCUACUGUUUACCAUAAUAGAGAAUCAAGUAAAAGUUUUCCUUUUUCAAUUUCACAAUAAACUUGAACGAGCAAACUUUACCGUGAGAGGUGUCUUUGAACGGGCUAAAAGGGAGGAUUAGAGGCAACCAUUGGUUUGCCUUCUCCCAGGAGAGUUGUUGGUCUUUCGCAACAUCACAAGGACGAAUCUCUGUCCGACGAACGAUUCUCGAAAUCCGAUCACGUUUCUGUUCGUUGCAUUAUAUGCAGAUACACGCCCGUUUCGAGAGCUUGCUUUCCAUUUUUUUUUUCUCUCUCUCUCCUUCCCCUACACACACUUCGUCCCUCGUCGAACGUGAACACGACGAGGCUCUAUUGUUUGCUAAUGGCCGCUCUUUCAAUAAUUCGGGACCAAUCAUUACGGACGAACGAAGCUGGCGGCCAGGAACUAGGGAUGAGGGAAAUCGGUGGGAAAAAAAAAAAUGGAAUAAUGUCGAUGGAAAAAGGUAGACGUACCUGCUGUGACCGAUGAUGACAAAGAUAAUAGCAGACAGGUCGAUGACACCCACACAACGGCGCAGGCAAGCCCACCGUUGCAGAAAUCACGGCGCAUCCUCAGCGCAUCAAGUGAUUUUUUAAUCGGCCUCUAUAUCUAUAAUCAGAAGAAGAAAAAAGAAUCGAAAUUAAUAGCGCUGUUAAAUAAUCGAUUAAACAGAAUGUUCAUUUAACAGAAUGAAUUGUUCACUUUUUUAAAAUUUCUUCAUUUAUUUUCAAUUUUGACCUUCAAUUUGAAUAUUGGCAAUUUCGCGGGUACCCGAGAAGUCGAUUAAAUCUGCAUUGGAUUUAGAUUGAAUCUUGAUUGAGAACCUCUGCAAGAAAUUACUAGAGCAUAUUUGGAUUGAAUUAGAAAGCGAGUUAGAAUUGAACUAGGUCUGGGUUAAAUUCCUAACGUACCAAGAAUUAUUAAUAAAAUGGCCUGACAUAAAUAAUAGGAUAAAUGCAAAGAAUAUUUUGUUCGUUCAAUUAAAGAUUAAUCGACGAAAUAAUUAAUAUAGAAAGAAUAUUGGCACGCUUAAGGGCAGAUCAGAUCCCGUUUUCCCGUAGAAUUUGUUAAACUUCUUUCAAACUUGCGUCUCGCGUUUUGAGGCCAAUAAAAGCCAAGAUUAUAGAUCCAGUAAUGGAAAAACUUUCCGGCCGAGAAAUCAAAACUCGUCGACGCGAAUGCAAGGAGCACUCUUUUCAUUUCUACCUUCAAAACGAACUCGUCGAAAUGGAAAAAAAAGGGUAACAACACGGUUCAAUUGAAAUGAAAUCUAUCUCGUACGUUGAAACGUUUUCAACAAUAAUAAUAGAAAAAAAUUCUCUUUGGUUAUUUUGUGGACAGACCAGAGAAUUGAUUUUGCAAUUCAAGAUACGAAUCAAUAAUUAGUUUAACGAGUAAUGCUUUUAGUAAAAUCAUGGACGAUAGACAAUUUAAAGAUUGUCAGGUUUGAAAUAAAGGAAAAUAACAAGGAAAGUUAUGUCUCCUUAUUCGUUAUACCGCAGUGAAUAUUCUAAUGCAUUCCUCUCCGUUAUUCAUGAGCCGUGGUUGGCUUCGGGAUCUACGAAUUGUCAGGUCGUUUUCGUUUCUUUUCACCUCCCUUUGUUCCUCGUUACAAGUUCGACGAGGACGUUGCCUUUCUUUUCGUUUGCCAGCUCGUGGAUAUUUUCAUUGUGACCAUCGUUCCUUGGGUAAAAAGAUGAUUAAAAGAAAAAACAGAGGUGUUUUUCUUUCAAUAGCCGAUUGGUUGCUGCUGCAAUUCUUUCUCUUCUCUUCUUAUCAAUAUUUCAUUCGUGUUUCUCUAACUACAUUAAUCUUUUUUCUUUUAAUCUUAUUUCUAUGGUGAAUGCAGGGUGAAUCGCGACUCAGAUCUAUAGUAACAGAUUUUUAAAAUAACCCUUUCAUGCACGAAUCUUUCUAUGUAAACAGUUUUUUAAAUUUUACUUGCAUAAGGGGUUUACGGGGUCGCUGAUUACGAAUCUGGGAUCAGAUUUUCAAAAUUCAUGAUGGCGAAUUCACAGCGACAGCAAUAUUUUCAAUUCCUGAUCAGCCAUAUUGAAUUUCGAAAAUCUGAAUCCAGAUUUGUAAUCAGCGUUCCGGAAAACCCUUAUAUUCAAAAUUUCACAACAUCAGCGAUAUUUUCUAUUUUUUUGGUCUGCCAUAUUGGAUCCGCCAUCUUGGAUUUUAAAAGUCUGAUUCCAGUUCCGUAAUCAGUGACUCCAAAAAUAUAAAUCAGCAUCAAAAUAUCAAUAUGUUCACAUUCGAAUUUUAUCAGAAUCGAUUUAAAAAAAAAAAAAA